rfam:Halobacteroides halobius DSM 5150, complete genome.
AGUCCCUUUUAAAUUAGUCCUGUGAGGCUAAGAAGGGGAGUAAACUACUUUAGUAAAUAAACUUGUUGAUUUUAUAAAUUAUUUAAGUAGUCAAUUACUACCUCCUUAGCCUAAUUAGGCUAAGGAGGUUUUUUGU